rnacentral:rRNA from 1 species
CCUACGGGUGGCAGCAGUGAGGAAUAUUGGUCAAUGGACGAGAGUCUGAACCAGCCAAGUAGCGUGAAGGAUGACUGCCCUAUGGGUUGUAAACCUCUUUUAUAGGGGAGUAAAACGAUCCACGUGUGGGAUAUUGUAUGUACCAUAUGAAUAAGGAUCGGCUAACUCCGUGCCAGCAGCCGCGGUAAUACGGAGGCUCCGAGCGUUAUCCGGAUUUAUUGGGUUUAAAGGGUGCGUAGGUGGAUUGUUAAGUCAGUUGUGAAAGUUUGCGGCUCAACCGUAGAAUUGCAGUUGAAACUGGCAGUCUUGAGUACGGGAGAGGUAGGCGGAAUGCGUGGUGUAGCGGUGAAAUGCUUAGAUAUCGCGAAGAAUUCUGAUUGCGAAGGCA